rnacentral:rRNA from 1 species
UACGAAGGGGGCUAGCGUUGCUCGGAAUCACUGGGCGUAAAGCGCACGUAGGCGGACUCUUAAGUCAGGGGUGAAAUCCUGGAGCUCAACUCCAGAACUGCCUUUGAUACUGGGAGCCUUGAGUUCGGGAGAGGUGAGUGGAACUGCGAGUGUAGAGGUGAAAUUCGUAGAUAUUCGCAAGAACACCAGUGGCGAAGGUGGCUCACUGGCCCGAUACUGACGCUGAGGUGCGAAAGCGUGGGGAGCAAACAGG